GUCCACGCCGUAAACUAUGGAUGCUAGCUGUUAUGAGUAUCGACCCUCGUAGUAGCGAAGCUAACGCGUUAAGCAUCCCGCCUGUGGAGUACGAGCGCAAGCUUAAAACAUAAAGGAAUUGACGGGGACCCGCACAAGCGGUGGAGCGUGUUGUUUAAUUCGAUGCUAAGCGAAGAACCUUACCCAGGCUUGACAUCCUUGGAAUUUCUCCGAAAGGAGAGAGUGCUUUAUUGAGCCAAGUGACAGGUGCUGCAUGGCCGUCGU
rnacentral:rRNA from 1 species